CUUGGAAAAAGGCUGCCAUUCUUUAGCCAGGAGAUGCAACCUGCUCACUGAGUCCAGGCUGCAGCCUCCAGGCCACAAUGGAAGGAAAGACAGGUCUCCGGUGGGUUGACGACACCUCAGGCUGUCCCUGCAGGUGCGCCGGCAUCAGGCAGGGAACAGGACCGCCCUUGCCUGUUUUGGACGCUUUGGUUUUCCGCCGUGACGCGGCCCUGUGAGGAGAAGUAACUCUCUAAAGUUACAUGAAGCCUGCAGCAAAGUCCUCAGCUGCCACCCGUCCCGGCGUCUGCAGCUCUGCAGGGCUGGCUGUCAGGCCUGCUGCUGGGAUCAUCUGGGAGCUUUGAGGAUCUCCAGAGGUCUGGCUCCCCCAAGGAUUUUGGUGUGACUGGGGAGUCAGUGCGGCCAUCAGCUUUCUCGGUGCCGCCCACGUGAUUCUCCUGUGAGCCAGGGUUGAAGACUUCUGCAGCAAAGCGGCACAUUUGGAGCCAACACAGUCAGCUGCUCUAAAACCACAGGGCUUUCAAGCUGUCCCCUCCAAGGUCCCCUCCUGUGUCCAGCACCAUCGUGACUGCCUCCUGCCGGGCUGCCCCUGCCUGGCCCUCAGGUGCCUGUGGUUUAAAUCUCCUGGCAUUGCUGAGCACGGGUCUGGUGUGCAGAUGGAGGUGACUGAUGCGUAGGAGGAAGCUGAUGGACAGUUCGUCCCUUCGCCAGCAGCUGUGUUGUGUUCAAAGGUGGAAACAAACCAGCUAGGCUCUCAGUGACCCCACCCAACAGGCAUUUCCUCAACGUGACUGUGACAUCCACAGGGUGGGCCUGCACCUGCCUUGAGCCUCUGCAGCUUGGGAUGCCUCAGCCUGAGGUGCUGGGAUGAUGCCACCUGGGACUGGGUCCCCUGACCUCCUGGGUUCUCCCUUAGGUCCCGGCCGCCAUUCUGCAGAGACUCCUGAGUCCGUGAAGUGGAUCCAGGGCCUCCAACCGCCCCAGCUGAUCUGCCAGGAAAGGGGUCCCUGCUGCCCGGGGGCUGCCUCGGCUGGCGCCACGUGGAGAUGAACAGGAGACAACUCACUGGAGCCCGUGGCACAGCCUGAGGGAGACAACUCACGGGAGCCCGUGGCACAGCCUGAGGGAGACAACUCACUGGAGCCCGUGGCACAGCCUGAGGGAGACAACUCACGGGAGCCCGUGGCACAGCCUGAGGGGUCUCUGGGUUGCCCACAGCUUCCCCAGGAGCUCACACAGGUCAGGCCAAGGGGAAGGGAGCCCAGUGCACACCCCCAGGCUCUGCGGUCCGAAUGCUUGUGUUCCCAAAAAUUCACAUGGAAUCCUCACCUCCCAGAGUGCUCCCCAGCCCCUUCCACCAUGGGAGGACGCGGCACAGGGUGCCGUUACCACCUGGGAAGCACAGCCUCACCAGACGCGGAAACUGCUGGAGCAGAGACCUUGGCUUCCAGCCUCCAGCGCCAAGAGGAGCGGAUUCCUGUCGUGGGCCAGCGUGUUCUGCGUGGUGGCCGGGAUGGACCGAGACUGGGUAGAUGCCAUCCUGACUGCUGACGUUUGGGACGUGAGACAUCUGGGGGCAUGGGGCAGCCCGCUGCGGCCAGGUGGGGUCAUGGGGCAGCCCACUGGGGUCAGGUGGAGGUCACGGGGCAGCCCGCUGGGGUCAGGUGGGGUCACGGGGCAGCCCGUUGGGGUCAGGUGGGUGUCACGGGGCAGCCCGCUGGGGUCAGGUGGUUCACGGGGCAGCUGGGCUCAGGUGGGGUGGGUGGGAUAUUCAGCCGCUUCCGAUUAUUUUCAGUAAAUUACUUCCAGGCCACACAUAUCUCAUUUCUCUUCUGAAAAACCCGUCUCAAAAACUCCCUUUCUCUUGAUAUUUCUCUGGCCAAGUCUACCCUGCAACACGCUGGUAAAAUGUAAAAUUCCUUCGCACGAGAGUGAAGAGGAUGAUCCCCAGGUGCGUCUCUCCAUUCCCGGGUCCUAACGAUUCCUCCUUAAGCCGGCUACCUGCGCGGGGGCCACGCUCUCCCACUGGGAGGAUGGUUUCUGGGACAUGCGGCGUCUCCUCCUUGUGCCUGUGCGUCUGAGAGAACUGGGGCGUCUCCUUGAACUGGGACGUCUCCUCCUCGUGCCUGUGUGGUCUGAGAGAACUGGGGCGUCUCCUCCAACUGGGGCGUCUCCUCCUCGUGCCUGUGCGUCUGAGAGAACUGCGGGGUCUCCUCCUCGUGCCUGUGUGGUCUGAGAGAACUGCGGGGUCUCCUCCUCGUGCCUGUGCGGUCUGAGAGAACUGCGGUGGCCCCUUGUGGGCCUCUUGGUUCUGGGGACAGAGGACACUUUUCACUCAGCCCGGGGACCUUUGGUUCUUUCUGUGAAGAUGGCGCCCAUGAGAUGACGCCUUGUGACUCAGGUACCUCAGCCCUGCGCCUCCGUCUCUGCGUCUCUGUAUUGGGUUGGUGGCGUCCACACUGUCUGCGUCGUUGCUGAGCAUCCCAGGUCCCCACUCAGCCCGGCCUCGUGUUUUCUCUUGUCCUCCUGACUGGAGUUCCAGUUCUUACCUUGCAGAUGGUGCGCUUGUCACCCUCUGCCGUCUCCACAGCAUCUGGGCCGGGUCCCCCCAGG
rnacentral:lncRNA from 10 species